rnacentral:lncRNA from 1 species
CCUGGAUUACCGUGCCGCCCACUAUCACCUGACAUAUCCCCCUCAUUUGAUGGGUUCGACCGACUGCAUGGAGUUUAUCCACUGCUCUUGGCUACUGUUUGCACCGCCGGCCGGCUAUAAUCCCAUCCACAUUAAUGCAUGACAGAUAUCUUGGUCAACUGUCAUACUAUAUCAUCAUUACAAGUCAAAGUAAUAGAUAUUAAAUGACCCAAUAGGUUAAUCCAACGAACCGACUCGGUCCAAUAGGAUUAAAUAAAGUUGACACAAUAAAUGGGCUCAACGAGCCCCAUGGCUUAAUUAUAAAAGCCCAACAGAUUAAACUGAUAAAUGGGCCCAAUAUACCCGGCCCAAAAUAGGAGAAAUAUCAUGACCCAACAUUACCCCCUAGUUUUUUAGUUAAACAGGAUGUUUAAUGGAAAACUAUAUAUGAUUCAUGAUAUUUAGAAUUCAAUAAAGGCCCAAGGAUAGGAAAUAAGUGAAUCAUACCCACUUUUAACAUACGAAGUGGAAUAAGGGAGGGCUGGAUAGUGGAUACCCAGAGCAAUAAGCCCAAUCUGAUAAAGGAUUUGAAUUUGAACAGGAUGGGCCAAUAAAAUAGAAACCCAACAGUCAGGCCCAAUCUGAUAAGAUAUCCAAAGGUCAUCCAAACGCGUCCCACUUGAAUUCUCAUCAUUACUGACAUUAAAUGCGCCGGCCUCGCUCCACGUGUAACCGUCAGUAUAAAAGAUAAACCUCACCAAAUUUGACGGUUUUACCUACUGAUUUGAAAUUCGAACCUUUGAGUUUUCUUCCCUUUCUCAGAAAACCUCUCUUUAGCUUUCGAAAACUCAACAAUGGUGAAUCCAAGCCAAACCCCUUCAAGUUCUUCUCAUUCAAACCCUAAUCAAGAGGGUUCAAGUGCAAAUCCACCAUCUCCAACUGAUUUCUUCAAAGAUGGGGAAAAAUUUCCUCACGCUAACAUCACCUCCACUAUCUCUGAAUCUGAAUUACGAGCUCUCCGGAUUCGAUACCAUAUUCCGGAUAACUAUGCUAUGAGGAUUCCAGUUGCUGAGGAGCGAAUGUACCAGCGACCAGACGGCUGGGUCGCUAUGCCGACUACUCUGCUGGAGAAAGGGAUUCGUCUGCCCCUCCACGCCUUCAUAGUUACCCUCUUAGGGUUUAUUGGAGUAGGCUUCGCACAACUGGUGCCCAACUCCUAUAUCCAUAUACUGGCGUUCAUCGCCUUCUGCCACGGAUUAGGGGUUACCCCCUCUGUUGACCUCUUUUUCACCCUCUUCUCGGCUGGCAGAUCCCGAGAACGAGGGUUCAAAAUGCUGAGCAAACAGUCCCCACGCCCAAACUCGAAAUUCGAGAAGAGACCCCUGAUGAGCACCCCCUCGAGCAACAAAGGAUGGCACGAGAAAUGGUUAUUCGUCACUGGUCCUGGGAUAUCCUCCCUUCCUGAUUGGACCAUUUUAGAGCGUGUCUCUGCUGACUUUGGUGACAUCCCCGAGGGGCGUAUGAGGGAGAUGGGUGACUUCAUGAAGAGGAUCACUCCUCAAGAGUGGAGCUUCACUCUACUGACCAAGCAAGCUUGGAUGUAUGACCAUAAAUGUGAGUCUCGGACCAUUCUGUGAUAUAAUUUUUGAAAUAUUUAUGUGGUAUGGAUUCUAACUUGUGAUUAUUUGCAGUGUCUUUGAUCAAACCAACUUCCUCGGAAGUAAAAGACUUGGAAGAUUUCUUGGCGGGGAGGAUUACUGAUGCAAAUGAAGAACUCCCUAACGAGGAGCCUUCCCGAACCGAACCCCUUGCCUCCGAACCAACAACAACCCCUCUUCGGGAUGACGACCCUGAAGCUGAUGAUAUCCAGAGAAUGCAUCCAUAAAACUUAAUAAAGCAUACCCCGAAGUGGCAUCAAUGAGUUGAUCGAUGUGGGGCAGCGGAUAGAAAUCCUUCGGACAGGCCUUGUUCAGGUCAGUGUAAUCAAUGCAGACUCGCCAUUUGUCAUUCUGCUUCUGGACCAGCACCACAUUAGCCAUCCACUGCGGGUAGUCUAUCUCGAAGAUGAAAUCAGCUGCCAAAAGUUUUGCAAUCUCAUCAUCUAUGAUUCGUUGACGCUCUGGUGCAAAGAUCCUCCUCUUCUGCCGAACCGGCUUCUUUGACGGGUCUACUUCCAAUCGAUGCUCAGCAAUAUCCCUGCUUACUCCCGGCAUAUCCUGAGGUUCCCAUGCAAAGAUAUCAACAUAACACCUCAGGAGCUCUACGAGGUUCGUCCGGAGAGGUUCCGGCAAGCCCGAACCUAUUUUCACCGUCUUGUCCUCCUUGCCUGGGAUGAGCUCUAUCUCUUCUGUCUCUCCAGCUGGCAUGACCGAUGGUUCAGAGCUACUUUCAGUGAAGGGUUCGAUCUCUAUCGCCAUGGCUUGUUUCUGCUUCGAUACCCCCACUCCCGAAGAAAUAACAGCAUUUCUGUAACACCUCCUGGCCAGAUCCAAAUCUCCUUUGACCUCACCAACCCCAUGAGCCGUAGGAAAUUUGAUUUUAAAAUGAGGAAUUGAUGUUACAGCUUGUAGAGCAAUUAAAUUAGGCCUCCCCAAAAUAGCAUUAUAAGCAGAAUCUACAUGUACAACAUAAAAUUUGCAAAUAAUUUGUACCUGCUGAGGGGUCGUCCCGAAUAUGACUGGAAGCUCAAUGGUUCCAGCCACUUUAACCGGAUCAUUGCUGAAACCAUAAAGAGGAGCUUCCUGUCCAAUUUCCAUCUUUCGCCCAUCCAAAUUCAUCCUUUGAUAAGCGUGGGCAUACAAGAUGUCUACAGACGAUCCGUUAUCUACCAUCAUCCUUUUCAUAUCUACCGAACCAACUUGUGAAGUAAGCACCAAUGAUCCCUCAUGAGGUUCGAUAAUUUCCGAAGGGUAAUCUUCAUCAGUGAAAGAGAUUACCGUAUUCGGAUAAGGUCUAUCAGUCUUCGGGAAGGUACCCGCCACCGACAAGACCGAAUCCAAAUAGCUUCGGCGCUUCUUUCCAACGAGCUUGCCAGAAGUACCCCCAGUGAUGACAUCUAUCACAUGCCUUGCAGGCUGAUCCGGAGCUGGCAACGCUGGCUGAUUAGGUUGAGCCACCAGGACAGGUACUCGGUCCUGCUGCUGAUUAGUUCGGGCAGCCACAUAUUGAACUAAAGCUCCACCUUGUACCUUUCUCUCAAUGAACUCUUUUAAACUGGCACAAUCGUUCGUCUCAUGUCCCGACGCUUGAUGGUAGUCGCAAUACUUGCGGGGAUUUCCCUUUCCGGGCUUGAUGUUAUCUCGUGGUGGCUCGAAAAUAGGUUGAUUUUUGAUCUGAUCUAAGAUAAUAGCCCUAUCGGCGUUGAGCGCCGUGAAAGUUCUGUUUACUCUCUGGGGUGGAGCGGACGAACGUCCUCCACCCUGCCUCCAAUUGUUAUACCUUUUCGACCCGCCUUCAUGACGGUCUUUGUGUCCUUCACUCUUCUUCUGGUCUUCAUCAGUUUUGUCCCGAUCCGUAUCUCUGGGCCGAUCUAAAGAAGGACGCUUGAGGCUACUCAUGGCUUCUUCCACUACGAUAUAGCCUUCAGCUUUAUCAAAGGCUUCGGCCAGACUCUUCGGGUGGUUAAACAUAAGUUUUUUCACCAACUUCUCUGACUUGACCAGAUCCAGCCCGUUCUGAAACAGUCCCACCGCUUGUAGAUCAUUCAGCUCCGCCACUUGACCGACUGCUUCCCGGAACCGCUUCACAUACUGGCCCAAAGAUUCAUUAGAGGAUUGCCGAACCUGAGCCAAAGAACCAGUUGGCUUUCCCCUUCUUCGGUUGCUCCCAAAACGUGCAUGGAAUUUACUGCACAUAUCUUCCCAGGAUGAGAUAGAAUCUGAAGGUAAGGUCCCCAUCCACUGCCGGGCAUCCUUUCUAAGAGUUGUGACAAAAGUAUGACAUUUAGCAGCAUCACUAAAGUCAUAAUAAUCCAUGAGUCGAUCGAACGCCUGACUAUGGUCGUAAGGGUCCCCCGAUCCAUCAUAACUUUCUAUAUGGGGCAACUUCUUCGUGGGGUCAGCUUUUUCUCUGAGAAUAUCCGCAGAAAAAGGGGAUGCCUUCUUUCCCGGAAUGUCUUUGGUUUUCUGGACUUCGGCAAGCUGCUUCCGAAGUUCUUUCAGUUCUUUAACCAGAUACUCCACGCCUUCUGGUUGAGAUGACGCCUCUUUCUCCGGUGACCCCUUCUUCUUAUAAGCAGACCGGAUUCUUUCAACAGAACCUUCAAUUUUAGAGGGGCUUCUCCGAUGACGAGUGUCUACAGGGCGGGGUGCCCUCAGUAGACUCUCGGGAGUAUGUCCUCUGGAUACACUUCGACUCUGAACUCGGGCACUAUGGUGAGAAUGUGCGAUGAUAAGUGCUCUCUUUGCAUGCUCUGGAGUACGAUCUCUGGAUCGACCUCUUCUCUCGCUUCGUCCCUGUUCUCCAGAAUUGGCAGAAUAACGAGUCCUCUUUGAUCUCUGAGGAGUAGGGCUUCGGGACCUUCUUCUUUCCCUAUUUCGACCCAGAGACUGUCGCCCUGAAUGAGCAGGUUCCUUCCCACUCCGAUGUCCUUGCUCUUCGGAUUGGGCAUAGCUGAGCUCUUCAUCUCUCAAUUCUGCCAUCCGAGCCAUCUGCUCGGCUAUAUCUUGACGCUGCUUUAAAAGUACUUCCAUGGCCUUAUCCGCCUCAUCCGCCAUUUUAGCCAACCGGGAGGCUUUUGCGUCCUGGUCAUCUCGGUAUCGAGUUCUAGGCGAGGUGCCUUCUACUCGUUUCCGACCAUGGCCAGACCCCUUCUCCGUCGGGUAUACUAGCUUACGCUUUGCUUUGCCUACUGCCUUCGGUCGAGAAUGUUCAGGUGACCGUUUAGACGCCGUGCUAGCAUGCACACUUAUGGUUGGUCCCAAACGAUCCUUGGCAGAUACUCGCGGUAAUGACUCACUGACAGACAUCGGCUGUCCUUCGGGUGUAGGUGUUCUACUCUUUCCCAUGAAAAAUGAAUAGAAUAAAACACACUCUGUGAUUGAAAAAUACUCAAGACACUAAAACAGCCCUCCUUCUAGCGCCAAUGUUAACGCCAAGAUCUUUCUCCACGUCCCAAUCACGAAAGACGUCCUGAUCCUGCACAGUAAACACGACAAACACCACAAGCUUGACGGCCGGACCGCCGGGGGAUAGCUCAGGCGUGAGAGUAAGUAUGUCUGUUCACAAAGUUAACUCAAGAGGAUAAUAGAAUUUAGCGUAUUGAGAGUGAUUAUUUUCUAUAUGUUGUGUGAAUGUGUAUAUAUGAAUAAAACGUACCUCCUUGUGAAGACUUACUCACUAAGAAAUAAUAUCUUUGCCUGGAUUACUGUGCCACCCACUACCACCUGACAUAUCCCCCUGAUCUGAUGGGUUCGACCGACUACAUGGAGUUUAUCCACUGCUCUUGGCCACUGUUUGCACCGCCGGCCGGCUAUAAUCCCAUCCACAUUAAUGCAUGACAGAUAUCUUGGUCAACUGUCAUACUAUAUCAUCAUUACAAGUCAAAGUAAUAGAUAUUAAAUGACCCAAUAGGUUAAUCCAACGAACCGACCCGGUCCAAUAGGAUUAAAUAAAGUUGACACAAUAAAUGGGCUCAACGAGCCCCAUGGCUUAAUUAUAAAAG